rnacentral:rRNA from 1 species
UACAGAGGGGGCGAGCGGUGUUCGGAAUUACUGGGCGUAAAGGGCGCGUAGGCGGCCCGCUAAGUCGAACGUGAAAUCCCCAGGCUCAACCUGGGAACUGCGUCCGAUACUGGCAGGCUUGAAUCCGGGAGAGGGAUGUGGAAUUCCAGGUGUAGCGGUGAAAUGCGUAGAUAUCUGGAGGAAUACCGGUGGCGAAGGCGGCAUCCUGGACCGACAUUGACGCUGAGGAGCGAAAGCUAGGGGAGCAAACAGG